rnacentral:lncRNA from 1 species
UUUGGAUCAUCAGAUCUGCCACCUCAAUUAAUGAGGGAGAUCUGAUGGCUCCUGUUUUUUCAUUUUAUUUUAUUUUUCUAAAUUGAUUUUUAAUUAUCCUUUUUUUUAAAAUUCACCAUAAAUUCAUUUUUGAUCCAAAAAUUAUGGGACCAACACCAAAAAUUCACAAAUAAGUCUUAAUUUUUGGAUUAAGUUUGAUAUUUUUGGUGAAUUUUGUGAUUUUUAAACUUGUUUUAAUUAGUUUUUAAUUACUUAUGGCUUUU